GACGUAGGAGGCGAGCGUUGUCCGGAUUCAUUGGGCGUAAAGAGCACGCAGGCGGUUUGGCAAGUCGGAUGUGAAAACCCGAGGCUCAACCUCGGGCCUGCAGUCGAUACGGGCGGACUGGAGUUCGGCAGGGGAGACUGGAAUUCCUGGUGUAGCGGUGAAAUGCGCAGAUAUCAGGAGGAACACCGGUGGCGAAGGCGGGUCUCUGGGCCGACACUGACGCUGAGGCGCGAAAGCCAGGGGAGCGAACGGG
rnacentral:rRNA from 1 species